UGGGGAAUUUUGGACAAUGGGGGCAACCCUGAUCCAGCAAUGCCGCGUGAGUGAAGAAGGCCUUCGGGUUGUAAAGCUCUUUUGUCAGGGAAGAAACGGUAGUAGCGAAUAACUAUUACUAAUGACGGUACCUGAAGAAUAAGCACCGGCUAACUACGUGCCAGCAGCCGCGGUAAUACGUAGGGUGCAAGCGUUAAUCGGAAUUACUGGGCGUAAAGCGUGCGCAGGCGGUUGUGUAAGUCAGAUGUGAAAUCCCCGGGCUCAACCUGGGAAUUGCAUUUGAGACUGCACGGCUAGAGUGUGUCAGAGGGGGGUAGAAUUCACGUGUAGCAGUGAAAUGCGUAGAUAUGUGGAGGAAUACCGGUGGCGAAGGCGGCCUUCUGGACGGUGACUGACACUCAGACGCGAAAGCGUGGGG
rnacentral:rRNA from 1 species